AUUGGGAGCGUUUUUCUAAUACUGGGCGUAAUUUGCGCGUAGGCCGCUUUGCAAGUCGGAUGUGAAAUCCCCAGGCUUAACCUGGGAACUGCAUUCGAGACUGCAUUGCUAGAGUAUGGGAGAGGGAAGUGGAAUUUCCGGUGUAGCGGUGAAAUGCGUAGAUAUCCGAAGGAACAUCAGUGGCGAAAGCGACUUUCUGGACCAAUACUGACGCUCAUGUGCGAAAGCGUGGGGAGCAAACAGGAUUAGAUACCCUGGUAGUCCACGCCAUAAACGAUGAGAACUGGAUGUCGGGAGGGUCUGCCUCUCGGGGUCCUAACUUACCCGUUAAGUUUUUCCCCUGGGGAGUACCGGCGCAAGGAUGAAACUUAAAGGAAUUGACGGGGACCCGCACAAGCGGGGGAGCAUGUGGUUUAAUUCGAUGCAACGCGAAGAACCUUACCUGGUCUUGACAUCCUAUGAAUCCUGCACAGAUGCCGGAGUGCCUUCGGGAACCUGGAGACACGUGCUGCAUGGGUGUCGUCAGCUCGUGUCGUGAGAUGUUGGGUUAAGUCCCGCAACGAGCGCAACCCUUACCCUUAGUUGCCAUCAUUAAGAUGGGAACUCUAAGGGGACCGCCGGUGACAAACCAGGAGAAGGUGGGGAUGACGUCAACUCAUCAUGGUCCUUAUGACCAGGGCUACACACGUGCUACAAUGGACGGUACAAAGGGUUGCCAACCCGCGAGGGGGAGCCAAUCCCAAAAAGCCGGUCGUAGUCCGGAUCGCAGUCUGCUACUCUGCUGCGUGAAGUCGGAAUCGCUAGUAAUCGUGAAUCAGCGAUGUCACGGUGAAUACCUUGCCGGGUGUUGUACACACCCGCCCGCACACCAUAGGAGUUGAUUGCACCAGAAGUAGGUAGCCCUACCGGANGGGGU
rnacentral:rRNA from 1 species